rnacentral:rRNA from 1 species
GACGAACGCUGGCGGCGUGCCUAAUACAUGCAAGUAGAACGCUGAAGGAGGAGCUUACUUCUCCGGAUGAGUUGCGAACGGGUGAGUAACGCGUAGGUAACCUGCCUGGUAGCGGGGGAUAACUAUUGGAAACGAUAGCUAAUACCGCAUAACAGUAGAUAUUGCAUGAUAUCUGCUUGAAAGGUGCAAUUGCAUCACUACCAGAUGGACCUGCGUUGUAUUAGCUAGUUGGUGAGGUAACGGCUCACCAAGGCGACGAUACAUAGCCGACCUGAGAGGGUGAUCGGCCACACUGGGACUGAGACACGGCCCAGACUCCUACGGGAGGCAGCAGUAGGGAAUCUUCGGCAAUGGACGGAAGUCUGACCGAGCAACGCCGCGUGAGUGAAGAAGGUUUUCGGAUCGUAAAGCUCUGUUGUAAGAGAAGAACGAGUGUGAGAGUGGAAAGUUCACACUGUGACGGUAUCUUACCAGAAAGGGACGGCUCACUACGUGCCAGCAGCCGCGGUAAUACGUAGGUCCCGAGCGUUGUCCGGAUUUAUUGGGCGUAAAGCGAGCGCAGGCGGUUAGAUAGUCUGAAGUUAAAGGCUGUGGCUUAACCAUAGUACGCUUUGGAAACUGUUUAACUUGAGUGCAAGAGGGGAGAGUGGAAUUCCAUGUGUAUCGGUGAAAUGCGUAUAUAUAUGGAGGAACACCGGUGGCGAAAGCGGCUCUCUGGCUUUGUAACUGACGCUUAGGCUCUAAGCUUGGUGGAGCAACAUG